CACAUGCAAGUCGCACGGUCAGCAAUGGCAGUGGCGGACGGGUGAGUAACACGUAGGAAUCUAUCCUGGGGUGGGGGACAACAGCGGGAAUCUGCUGCUAAUACCGCAUGAUACCUGAGGGUCAAAGGCGCAAGUCGCCUUGGAGGAGCCUGCGUCUGAUUAGCUUGUUGGUGGGGUAAAGGCCUACCAAGGCGACGAUCAGUAGCUGGUCUUGAGAGGAUGAUCAGCCACAUUUGUACUGAACACGGCCCAAACUCCACGGGAGGCAGCAUUGGGGAUAUUUGGACAAUGGGCAACCGAUCAGCAUGCCCGUGUUGUGAAGAAGGUCUUCCGGAUUGUAAGCACUUUUGCAAGGCCAUUAUACGGUACUUGCAAAUAAGCCCCGGUUUACUUUGGCCAGCAG
rnacentral:rRNA from 1 species